GCCCGAGUAGCCCAGCGGAAGAGGCAGGUCACUUAAAAUGACCACAGCGUGGGUUCAAAUCCCACCUCGGGUA
rnacentral:tRNA from 1 species